GAUAACGGCGUCGAGCGGCGGACGGGUGAGUAAUGCCUAGGAAAUUGCCCUGAUGUGGGGGAUAACCAUUGGAAACGAUGGCUAAUACCGCAUGAUGCCUACGGGSCAAAGAGGGGGACCUUCGGGCCUCUCGCGUCAGGAUAUGCCUAGGUGGGAUUAGCUAGUUGGUGAGGUAAKGGCUCACCAAGGCGACGAUCCCUAGCUGGUCUGAGAGGAUGAUCAGCCACWCUGGAACUGAGACACGKYCCAGACUWCUACGGGAGGCAGCAGUGGGGAAUAUUGCACAAUGGGCGCAAGCCUGAUGCAGCCAUGCCGCGUGUGUGAAGAAGGCCUUCGGGUUGUAAAGCACUUUCAGUCGKGAGGAAGGURGUGWMGUUAAUASCUGMAUYAUUUGACGUUAGCGACAGAAGAAGCACCGGCUAACUCCGUGCCAGCAGCCGCGGUAAUACGGAGGGUGCGAGCGUUAAUCGGAAUUACUGGGCGUAAAGCGCAUGCAGGUGGUUUGUUAAGUCAGAUGUGAAAGCCCGGGGCUCAACCUCGGAAUWGCAUUUGAAACUGGCAGACUAGAGUACUGUAGAGGGGGGUAGAAUUUCAGGUGUAGCGGUGAAAUGCGUAGAGAUCUGAAGGAAUACCGGUGGCGAAGGCGGCCCCCUGGACAGAUACUGACRCUCAGAUGCGAAAGCGUGGGGAGCAAACAGGAUUAGAUACCCUGGUAGUCCACGCCGUAAACGAUGUCUACUUGGAGGUUGUGGCCUUGAGCCGUGGCUUUCGGAGCUAA
rnacentral:rRNA from 1 species